GUAAAACUUUCAGCGACGGAUGUCUUGGCUCCCACAACGAUGAAGAACGCAGCGAAAUGCGAUACGUCUUGCGACUUGCAGAAUCCAGUGAAUCAUCAAAACUUUGAACGCAUCUUGCGC
rnacentral:rRNA from 1 species